GAAUCCUUGGUCUGACUCAAGCAAAGAGCGCCUCUCUCGCCCCUCGAGAAGAGGGUCCCUGACGACGACGCACAAAAAACGUCCAAACGCGCAACGUUUGUCCACCUCGGAGAAGCUUUGGAUGGACUCUAACCGUGGAACCAGACAAAUUCCUUCACAGGCUCCUGUGGACGGCCAGGGCCGCUCGGAGGCCUCGGCGACGGCGACAUGCAAACCUGGCAGAGCAACAAAACUAGAGGCCUUCAAGGUCAUGGAUGGAUGGAUGGAUGGAUGGAGUGGCGGGGCAGCAGAAGGAGGAACAGACUGGCGUUAAGGGGGAGGUGUAGGGGUGCAGCUCGUUCGCGCUGCAGGAGCAAACCGCUCUGAGUUUAGCUCACACUCCCUGUUGCACUGUGCUCGCGACCAUCAGGACGUGGACACGUGAUCGGAGACUUUACAUUGGGACAAACCCGUCCACUGAUCUCUCCUGCGUCACAUCUCCUCAGUAUAUGAAUGCAGCCUGCAGCCCGGAUAGAGAUCCCACAUUACCACAAACCAUUUGCUUCAAGGUUCAAGCCCUCUUUGUGGCUCUUCAGCUUCUAGCGGCCUUCUUGCUUGCAGGUAUCAGGAAAGUGAAUGAGCUCCUUGUUUCAAUGCCGUCGCUACACAACACAUAGAGUUGGAGCUCAGCAACACACGUGUUUCAAUGGUCUAACUGAGACGGGACUCCUUUACCAUUAACUGGUUUACUUGUUCCCCUGCAGAUGACCCCCACACACCCGGUGGAACACAUGAAAACAAUCAAUGGGUGUUUAAUCAAGAGGACUAGCCUCCAACACAACAACGGCUCCACAUGUGUUGAUUUUAGACAUUGCAUCUUGUUAGUUCUCCAAUACUUUUAAACAAAAAGGCGCACUCUGCCUCUUGGAUGGUUCAUCUGACGGUUCAGCAAUGAUGGUUUCCGUUUGUAUUUGAAAACCAGUGAAACAAACACAAGUAACUACAGUUGAGAGCUUUUUCGAGGCGUCCUUUAGGAAGCAAGGCUAUCCGUUUCUCCCUGUUUACAGUGUUUGUGCUAAGCUAGGCUAACACAAUCGGUACUGAACACACAGAUGAAAUGAUGAUAUCAAUGGUCUCACCCAACAAGAAAGCAAAGAAUGUCAAUAUUUCUUCAAGUUAAACUAAAUGUUUUAUUACCAAAAGGCCAUAAUCAUGGUAAAUGUGGCGGACGCCGUGCAUGCAAUGAGUUUCAUUUAUAAAAGGACUUACCACUGAAAUGCGUUGUGAUGGAAGUAAACCAUGCCAAGGCCAUAUAAAAAGGCAGCAUUCUGGGAAAAUAAAGUAUUGGAAAAUGGUUACAAACAGAAGAAUAAAACCCCUUUUGCACACUGUAAUACUUAAGGUUCAAAACGUGAUGAGGAGACAACAGCUGGCAGUUGUGAUCGUGGUUGCGUGGCAACGUCAUAGCGUGUGGUCCAACACGUCUGCACCAAUAAAAGGUCUACACGCGACAUUACACGUUCAGCCGUUCAUUCCUCUGCUAGAUAACAUACACAACACCGUAUACAACAUGCCCCUCUCCUAAAGUCUCUGUGCUCUCCCUCCCCACAGGCUUCUGUGGAUGGUGGUUCUAUCUGA